AGAAACAGGGAUUCUGAUUACAUAGAGGGCUGCAGGCCAUCAAAACCCAGUGCUAAUCAAUGAUGCGCUCAGACCCCAGACCCAAGGUCAUCUGGCCGCUCUUCUGGCAUUCUAGAAAGCACAAAUGGGGAGGAGGAACGGGGGAAGAACAGAGGUUGGGGAUGGAGAGAGAAUGAAGAAACACAGAGAGAAAACAAUCACCUCUGUUGUCCUCUCUGGGCCAAAAGAGUGAGCAGUAAUGAGCGAGCCUGGGAGGGCACCUGGGAGCCACAAGCCCCAACACACAGUGACAACUUGGUUGUAAGAAGUAUACACCUAAACCCAGACAAGAUGAUAAAAGCCUUCUCAUUUGAUCCUCCCGGCAGCCUGGUGAAGUAGGGUGUGGCAAGUAGCUCUAAUGAGAGCCUUGGGGAGCAAGAUGCAGGGCUCAUCUCAGUGUGAGCACAGUUUGCUCACGUCCCCUCUUAGUGGUAGCUGGGACAGCCUAGGGCACAGGAGCCUUCUUGUUCUCUCAGAAAGCAGCAGCGUGGUUUUCAUAAUGCUUUUCCUUUCCCAGGACUGAGGAGGCGUGCGCCCCCAUUUCUGUUUCCAUAUCCCAGGUUUUCUCCUGAUUUUGAGAUGUAGGGAUACAUCUACAAUUCACCAUCGUGACUUUAGGCUAAUUAAUUAGCUUAGACUUUAGUCUGCACUGAGUUCUCCAACUUAUCAUCAAUGGAAUUUUGUAACCACUGAGUGAAUUCCCUUCCUGGGUCUUGGUUUAAGGCAGGGAGAAAAAUAACUUUCUUACAAGAAGGUAACGAAGAAAAUAACUUACAUUUAAAACUUCAAGCAAGGCACCCCUAAGAUCAAUAGCCUCUUUGGGGGAAUGGGGUAUGUCUUUUACAUAAGAACAGAAAAAUAAAAAUAAAAAAAGAUUGGGAAGCAGAACAUGGUUUGGUGCGUGUGAAGCUCCAGCAGAUAGGCCUGGGUGUGUGUGUAUCAGGCAUGCAGAGUCUCAGUCUCCUCGGGUAGGAAAUAGUAGAUCCAUUUAAACAUCAUGGGAGGGACCUGUAGAAAGUCUUGCAGAUACAAUAGGAGGAGGGUGGAAUCUGCAAGGAGCUUGGGACGUUCCCAGCAUGGCUUCAGUGUGUCACACAAAGGAGAAGACAGUGUCACCUGGAGAACUGGCAAAUACAGCUCACAUUCAAGCCACAAGAGGAGAGUUCCCACAGGGUGGAAACUCAAAGGGUGCUCUUUAAUGUGGAUUGCCAGUUGUGGCUCCCGGGAAGAAAUCCUGUUUGUCAUUCAGGUUCUAUUUGGUUGCUAACUUGCUCAGAAAAGUUUGUUUUUCUUACAAAGACAGCGACUUUCUCCAAAGACGAUUGCAGUCUCCAGUGAAAGGGAAAGACAUGGCAUGUGUACCAACAAAAGUCACAGCUAUCUCCCUGAAUAGUUCGCAUGUUCCUUUUGUUACUCAGUGUUUUUCAUUCUAUUCAAAAAUACCACGGAGUGAGGAUAAUAGAUUCACAACACUGAUGCAGAGAUAGCAAAAACUUUCUUGCUUGUUCCCGGAUUUAUUAGAAUUCAUUACUUCUUCCUGAUGGGCUAAUGCUGUCGCAGUUUGCAGUUGGUAUUCUGUGCCAUAAGUUAUUUUUAUAAGGCUCUCUACUUACAUGAUUUUUAUCACUGUGAGUUUUUCCUCAUUUCCUGGAAGUUAUCAAGCUGACAUAAAAAAAGCCAUCUUCUAAUGAUAGUGAAUUUUCAUAAGCUAUUUGCAUCAGAUCUCAUCCUCAGAUGCUGGGCUUGGCCCAGAGUCAACAACUAGAUUUCCUUUGCCGCAUUGUCUUUCUUAGCCGAAUAGGGUGCCUGUGUAUUGAUUGCACAUUAUUGAAUGUAAUGCUUGUUUUUAUAAAUGAUUUCUAAUAAAAGUGUUAGAAAACAG
rnacentral:lncRNA from 1 species